CCGGGCCCGGCAGGUGGGCGAGGACUGCUGGAGCUGUCGGGGAUCUGCAGGAGCGCGCGGAAAAGAUUCUGGCUGUAUUGGAGAUUGGUUGCUUUCUAAAACCGAAAGAGAAGCUGAUAAAGAGAUGGUGGAUUCGCAUUGAGUUUUGACUGGUGGAAUAAAAGAGAGAGUUCAAGUGGAUGGUGUUGAGGGCUUGAAAAGCUGAGAUACUAUGAUUUUGAAGUAAUUUCACAUUUGAAGCCAUGAUAUAACUAUCAGCGUUAAGAUUUCAACAAGAAAAACUUAAGCUUCGUUGGAUUCCCACGUCAAAGAAAAGUUUCAAGCUUUCAGAAAGAGUUGUCACUGGAAGAUCAAGAACAGCUCCCUAACCACAAAAGAGGAAUCGAUGCUAAGCUUUCAGCUGCAUUUCCGAAAGUUGCAGAAUUAACACAAAUCUUUGAACCAAAGAAAAAAGAAUUCUUAGAAAUGAAAAGAAAAGAAAGAAUUGCCAGGCACCUGGAAGGAAUUGAAAAUGACACCCAGCCCAUCCUCUUGCAGAGCUGCACAGGGUUAGUGACUCACCGCCUGCUGGAGGAAGACACUCAGCUGGUAGGGUCGCUGGCUCGAUACAUGCGAGCCAGCGACCCUACCAGCCCCCACAUCGGCCGAUCAAAUGAAGAGGAGGAAACUUCUGAUUCUCCUCUAGAAAAGCAAACUCGAUCUAAAUACUGCGCAGAAACCUCCGGCGUCCACGGUGACUCACCCUAUGGUUUUAGUACCAUGGACACCCACAGUCUGGAGUCCAAAGCGGAAAGAAUCACAAGGUACAAAGCAGAAAGAAGACGACAGUUGGCAAAGAAAUAUGGGCUGACUCUGGAUCCCGAGGCCGACUCCGAGUAUUUAUCCCGCUAUCCCAAGUCCAGGAAGGAGCCUGACGCUGUCGAGAAGCGGGGAGGAAAAAGUGACAAACAGGAGGAGUCAAACAGGGAUGAGUUCUCCACACCCCGGGACAGAGACGAUGGGGCUCAGGACCUGUGCAGGUGAAUCCAAGGACUAUGCCCUCCGCGGGGGUGAUAGCUCUUCUGACCAGGAGGUGCUGCUGAACAUAGAAAACCAAAGACAAGAUCAAGAGCUAAACGCCACCUGGCAGGACCACGACCUGCCCCCAGCUGCCGGGAGUUCCUUGACCUUCUCUUUCUCUGGGCGAGAAUCCUCCUUAACGGAAGUGCCACAGUCUCCAAAGCACGCGCACAGCUCGUCCCUGCAGCAGGCGGCCUCCCGGAGCGCCUCCUUUGGUGACCCACAGCUACCCCCUGAGGCCAGACCCAGGUGCACUUCACAGUCAGAAACGCCAACUACUGAUGAUGAAGAAAAAGUAGAUGAACAAGCCAAGCUGAGCAUCGCCGCCAAGAGGCUGCUUUUCAGGGAGAUGGAAAAAUCUUUUGAUGAACAAAAUGUUCCAAAGCGACGCUCAAGAAACACAGCUGUGGAGCAGAGGCUCCGCCGUCUGCAGGACAGAUCCCUCACGCAGCCCAUCACCACCGAGGAGGUAGUCAUCGCGGCCACAUUAUAGGCCUCUGCUCACCAAAAGGCUUUAGCCAAAGACCAGUCAAAUGAGGGCAAAGAGCUGACUGAGCAAGGAGAACCUGAUUCCUCCACUCUAAGCUUAGCCAAGAAGUUGGCCUUGUUUAACAAAUUGUCCCAGCCAGUUUCAAAGGCGAUUUCCACCCGGAACAGAAUAGAUAUGAGACAGCGGAGAAUGAACUCUCGAUAUCAAACUCAGCCAGUCACGCUGGGAGAGGUGGCGCAGGUGCAGAGUGGAAAGCUUAUUCCUUUCUCGCCUGCUGUGAACACAUCGGUGUCUACAGUAGCAUCCACGGUUGCCCCAAUGUAUGCCGGGGAUCUUUGCACGAAGCCACCUCUUGAUGACAAUGCAAGUGCCACUGACUGUAAAUUUUCUUCUUCAAUGGAAAAUUCAGACUCUCCAGUUAGAAGCAUUCUAAAAUCGCCAGCUUGGCAGCCCUUGGUAGAAAGUAGCGGGAACAAGGGAACGUUGAGAGAAUAUGGAGAGACGGAAAGCAAGAGAGCUUUGACAGGUCGAGACAGCGGGUUGGAGAAGUAUGGGUCCUUUGAGGUAGAAGCAUCCUACCCCAUCCUGAACAGAGCCAGGGAAGGAGACAGCCAUAAGGAACCUAACUACAUCCCCAGGAAAGGAAGCCUGGAACGGGUGAAUCCUCCCAUCACUCACCUUGGGGAUGAACCAAAGAAAUUUUCCUUGGCUAAAACAAGUGCGCAAGGAAACUUGGACUUGAGAGACAGGCCGCCCUUUGAAGAGAAGGUGGAGGUGGAGAAUGUUAUAAAAAGGAAGUUUUCACUAAGAGCGGCAGAGUUCGGGGAGCCGGCUUCCGAGCAGACGGGGGCAGCUGCUGGGAAAACGGUGGCCCAACCAGCAGCCCUCGCGUCCUGGAAGCUCCAGGAUUCUCCGGAACAGCCACAGGAGAGGAUCUGCAGGAAUCCAUGUGCGAUGUUUGCUGCUGGAGAAAUCAAGACUCCGAGGGGGGAGGGCCUCUCCGACUCACCCAGCAAAACCAUGUCUAUUAAAGAAAGAUUGGCACUGUUGAAGAAGAGCCGGGAGGAAGACUGGAGAAACAGACUCAGCAGGAGGCAGGAGGGCGGGAAGGCGCCGGCCAGCAGCCUGCACACCCAGGAAGCGGGGUGGUCCCUCAUCAAGAAGCGGGUCACAGAAAGUCGAGAGAGCCAAAUGACGAUUGAGGAGCGGAAGCAGCUCAUCACUGUGAGGGAGGAGGCCUGGAAGACGAGAGGCAGAGGAGCGGCCAAUGACUCCAUCCAGUUCACCGUGGCUGGCAGGAUGGUGAAGAAAUGUUUGGCGUCACCCACUGUCAUAACCCCCGUGGCCUCGCCGAUUUGCAGUAAAACAAGAGGCACCACACCCGUUUCCAAACCCCUGGAAGAUGUCGAAGCCAGACCAGAUAUGCAGAUAGAAUCAGACCUGAAGUUGGACAGGCUGGAAACCUUUCUAAGGAGGCUGAAUAACAAAGUUGGUGGGAUGCAAGAAACGGUGCUCACCGUCACCGGCAAAUCUGUGAAGGAGGUGAUGAAGCCGGAUGAUGACGAAACCUUUGCCAAAUUUUACCGCAGCGUGGAUUAUAAUGUGCCGAGAAGCCCUGUGGAGCUGGACGAGGACUUCGAUGUCAUUUUCGAUCCCUAUGCACCCAAAUUGGCGUCUUCUGUGGCCGAGCACAAGCAGGCAGUCAGGCCCAAGCAGAUAUAUCCUAGAUACUUCGAUGGGCCAGUGUGA